rnacentral:rRNA from 1 species
UACGGGGGGGGCAAGCGUUGUUCGGAAUUACUGGGCGUAAAGGGCUCGUAGGCGGCCAACUAAGUCGGAUGUGAAAUCCCCAAGCUUAACUUGGGAACUGCAUCCGAUACUGGUUGGCUUGAGUGCAGGAGAGGAACGCGGAAUUCCAGGUGUAGCGGUGAAAUGCGUAGAUAUCUGGAGGAACACCGGUGGCGAAGGCGGCAUCCUGGACCAUGACUGACGCUGAGGAGCGAAAGCCAGGGGAGCAAACGGG